ACCGUAGGUGAACCUGCGGAAGGAUCAUAG
rnacentral:rRNA from 1 species